rnacentral:lncRNA from 1 species
CAGAAUAAUAAUUUCAUCAAUUAGAUCAGGCCACUACUUUUAUUUCAAUCUUACGUUCUUCACAGGGAUGGUUGAAAAAAAAAUAAUAAUAAUAACAAUUAUACAAAAGCAAUAUCAAAUUAAAUUCACAAUAAUACUUUCAAUACCUUAGUUACAAUUCUUUGCUUCGAAAAUAAAAACAGACUAUAACCUCGAAUUGAAACGACGCCGUUCGAUUCGUUAGGCACAUUUAAUUCUUAGUAAAUAUUGGGGACGGGGUAGGAGAGGAGGAGAAGAGUGGAAUUUGCGGCGGCGAAAUAAUUUUUUUAGGGUUUUUAUGUAAGCCAGAGAGUGAGAAGAGGAACGCCUCUGUUUGGAUACAUGGGAUAGUUUUACUCCAGGAAGGGAUAAAUUUAUGAAAUGUGCCGCAGCAAUUUGUACAACUCUUUCACAUGUACAGGUGGAACUCAUGAUUAAAAUAAUCGCGAAUCUCACACAUGUAACAGGGCUGUAAUUUUU